rnacentral:tRNA from 1 species
GCCAACUUAGCUCAGCUGGUAGAGCGGCUGAUUCGUAAUCAGCGGGUCGUGAUUUCGAAUAUCGUGGCGGCUCCA